CCUGCUACCAGAGGGCUUGGUGCAGAAAACCCAUGCAUCUCACAAGCCUCCUGCCUUCAGCAGAGGGCAGUGAACUUGCAUGCACACCACCACCUCCUCCACACUGGGUCUUGUCUCAGCGCAGAUCAUCUGAUGGUCACAGAAACUGAUGGAGAACGGGUUAAUGCCUCGUCCAUCAGCGGCAGACAGGAUGUAUGAGGCUGUUUCUUCCCUUGGAAGAUGCACAGACCCUACAGAACAGCACUCGGCUGAAUUACUCCUUAGCUCAGCAGAUUCAAAGGCACUGACAACUUUUUAAAGAAUACUUUAGAACAGGAAUGUUCUUUUGUAUUUUACCUUUUCAUCAAAGUCUUCAGACUUUACCAGGUAAGACCUACAGUGUAGAUCCUCUCAACUCCAUCUCCACAUAGGAUGAAAGAUGCUCCAUAGGGCAGACAGGUUUCCCCCUUCUCCGUUCUGACACCUGCCUCUCUGCCUGGUGCCUGUGUGGCUGUGCCAUGCCAUGUGGUGAUGGGCUCCCUGUGUCCCACACAGGGCUUGCUUCUCUUCUGCUCCAGACAACGGUGUCAGACCCUGUGUGCCUCUCAGAGAGAUCCCAACUGGGGCAGAGUCAGAGUUGUCUGUGCUCAAAGACCAGUCUGAUGGAGCAUGGUAAUUACUGCGUUCUUCUGGAGGCUCCCUGUGAUGACCAAAUUAGCAGGAAACUCUAAAAGGUAUAAUGUGCUCCUGACAUAUGACAAGGCUGGGGGAGAGGAAAUGAAAUGAAAAUGGGUCAAGAGUGGGAGGCCUGGACUGAAGCAAUUCCCUGUGGUGCCAGGGUCCAUUUAAGAGUCAAAACAGCAGCGCAUUACAAAGAGGGUGUAAGAAAGGCUGGUUUCAUUGUCCAGACUGAGCAAACUGGCCUUUCCACUAGUCUCCUCCUCAGCAGUGCCUGUAGCACCUGCAGCACCAACAUUUAAUGUAUUGCCUUGCUGGUUUGAAUGGUUUUCUGCCUUUGUUUUUGCCGUGGAGCAACAGGCAGCAAAGUAGAACAGGGAUCCUUAAAGGAGAUCACUUUUUAUCAUUGGAAAUACUUACAGACUCUAUCUGUGCCGGUGCAGGUUGUUGUCACACCAACCGGGGAUUCUUUAGCCAGUUUAAGUCUCUCUAUAGUGGAAAAACUCAAGGAGAGCCCAAGGCACUUCUGCAUGGACAGAGCCAUCACCAGGAUGGAAAGGCAAAGAAGGCAUCAGGGGAUGGCCUUUGACAGCGAGCUGGGAAGGGAGCUCCAGCACCGCCUCAUUGCAAACAGGAGCUGGCCUGGCACAGCACUGGAAUCCAUGCUCCUCUCUGAGCCUGCAGACAUGAAGGUGUCCCACAUCCAGGGCAGUGGAAGUCUCGGUGCUUUUAGCAGGUUGAUCCCACAUGAGCCAUCCAUCAUCCACAGAGCAUCCGUGGCCGAAUCAACAAGUGAAUCCAAAUCAUGCAGCUUCCUCCCUAUUAGAAGGUAAUUGGUGGCAUCCUGGCCUCUCAGGCACCAGACGGUUCCUCAUAAAACAUUCAGAUUGGAGUUAUCCAAAGAGGAAAAUGAGGAGGGAGGGAUUUUUCCACCUGAUGGACGUGGCAUGUAAUUAUGGCAGGCAUAUCCCGAUGCUUUGUCUGUGCUGCUCGCUGCGGCUAUGCCGAAGAAUUCCUUGAUAUUCAAGAAGUGCCCUGACCAAGUCAGGUUUCCAUAAUAUGAUUACAUUAUGAAAUUCUAUUUCACGCCUGCAUAUUAUAGCGUGCACAGCAGCACUUUCAUCACGCAUCAGAGCGUGGUUUGCUCCGCUCUGAUACCACUCACCAGAGGAUGUCUACAAAUGGAAUUAUUUCAGGAUAGUUAUCCUAAAUAACUCCGUGUAGGGAAACCUGUAUUGUAGCACAAAAGCACCUUGCUCUCCUUUAUCGUAAUCCAUUUUACAUGUGGAUUAUGCUGAUGCAGAACAGGGCACUCCUAUUUUGGAAUAGUUUUAAAUAGGAAUAGGUUUUGUGCUCUUGGCUCACACCCUGCAUUAUCCAAAACAGCUUUGAAGUGUAAACAAGCCUCUAAUGUGCCUCUAUUUCCAUUCUGCUCCCUGGCUCCUCCUUGUUCCCUGGUUCUUCCUUUGGGAAGAUCCAAAGCAAAACCAGACCUGCAGAGCCUGUCAUUUAGGUCUUUGCUUUCCCAAACUUCAUACCAAGGGACAUCACCAAUCUGAUUCCCAACUUAAAUGCAUCCCCAAGCUUCUGAAGGGAGAAUUGAGAUGCAGGUUUCUGACUCUGUGCCAUCCCCACAAAUUAAACCAGUACCUGUUUCCUUUCACACUUUUCUAACCUCCUGUGGGACAGUUUGGGUUUUUUCUGUUAUCACCAGCCUAUUCUGCAGCCUGCAGAGAAAACUGAGGGCUACGACUCUGAGAAAGGUCCAAAGCUUCAAGGCCAGGUUGGACACAGGGGCUUGGAGCAGCUGCUCCAGUGGAAGGGGUCCCUGCCUGUGGCAGUGGUUGGAGCUGGAUGAGCUCUGAGGUCCCUUAACCCAAACCAUUUGAUGAUUCUCUGCAACAGAGCAGCUGACUUGAGAACCCCAUUGCAUGGACAUUAUUUUGUCUGCUAAUUUAUCACUCAUUGUCUUGAUAGCGAGGUCCUCCUGCAGCUCUUCGCAGACAGGUUCUGAUUUGCCUAUCCUGAGUGGCGCUGGCACAUCUGCAGACACACCAGGUCACUUCAUCCCCAGCAUCACCAGAGGCACCGGCUGCCGUGGCUGGGGAGAUGAGGGCACUCACACCAGCUCCUGUCAUUCCUUCUCUGUGACUGCACAGACCAAACAUCAGGCAGGGAGGAGGCUGUUCCUUAAAUCUAUGUGGUAUUUCAAGGUACAGCCACAGGGGCAGAAGCUCCUGGUUCACAAAGACGAUGGAGGGGCUUGCUUCAAAUAGAAAGAGGUUUAUUAAGGUAAUGAGAAUGACAUCGUGGUGGUGUACAUCUAUUGCAGCAUUAAGAGAAACAACAGCAAGUACAAAAUCCUGAAGAACUUCUAUAGUCAUUAUCACAGCCUAUCUUGUCCAUGCUACAGUUUUGUGUAUCCAAAACUUCAUUCCCAUUUCUAAGGGCUGAAAAUCCAAAGAUUUUCAUCUUAAAAAAAAAAAGUAAAAUAACCCCCAAAAAAACCCAAAAACCAAAAAAAAAUCAACCCCCCCAAAAAAACCAUCCCAGAAAACCCUAACUCAGUUUGAUAUAAAUAACUUGCACUGGACAUUUUAAAACUUUCAGAUUUUAAUUACACAUAAAUAAAUAUAUACAGAUUUCGAACAGUUCCGUUUGGCCUGGUUCAAGUUCUGCUCCUUGUGCUUUAUUAAUUAUUAUUAUUACUAUUAUUCACUUUAGAAAGGUGUGUGUGCUGUUUGCCAUGGUUUGUGGUGUUUCAGUCAGUCCUGGGUUUAACUUCACCUGCUUUAUCCCCAGUGUGACUGCGGCCAUAGGGAGGCUCUCCCCGCUCAGGUCCUGCCCUGGGACCCAUCGGGGCUGCGGUUGUUCCUCCCCUCGGCCACAGCCCAGGGGAAGAUGCACUGAGAUCCGACUCAGUCUGCAAACUGUAAACGAAGUCUGAAACUGCUUCAGAUCCAAAGCAGCUGCACUGGCGGCUUCCUCUUGGCUUUAGGUGGGGAAAGUGAGAAGGUUUCCUGUGUGUUUGCCUGUCAAAACCAGCCGAUACAUCCAGGUACAGCAGGGAUCCUGCUCCCUGCCCUCUGCGGCUCCUGCCUCUCCUGCUUGCACUGAGGAGGCUUUUGCUCUUGUGUGGUUUUCAGUUGGAAGCAAUUCCUGGAGGAUUUCACCGGGGGCUUUUCAAUAAACCAAAAUUGCACAUGAUUUGGCUUCCUGCAUCCACGAUUGGAAACCAGCAAAGGCAGAAGCCAUGGACCUGGCUGAUCUCAACCUCACCGUGCCCAGGAGAGCUGUUACCACCUUCAGUUCUUUAAAUCUUCUUUUUGUUGUCUUUUCUGCAUGAGUUUGUUCCCAUGUUCAGACAGUUCAGCACAGGUUGCACUGCAUCAUCUCGCUGGGA
ensembl:lncRNA